ACGGAGGGGGCUAGCGUUGUUCGGAAUCACUGGGCGUAAAGCGCACGUAGGCGGAUCUUUAAGUCAGGGGUGAAAUCCCAAGGCUCAACCUUGGAACUGCCUUUGAUACUGGAGAUCUUGAGUCCGGGAGAGGUGAGUGGAACUGCGAGUGUAGAGGUGAAAUUCGUAGAUAUUCGCAAGAACACCAGUGGCGAAGGCGGCUCACUGGCCCGGUACUGACGCUGAGGUGUGAAAGCGUGGGGAGCAAACAGGA
rnacentral:rRNA from 1 species